rnacentral:lncRNA from 1 species
UCGACUGUGAUUUAAAGAAUCAAUUAAAAUUCCUAUAAGGGCAAAUUAAGAACUAAGAGCAAAGAAAAUUUCUAUAUAUUUGCAAUCACUGGUCCCACAAAAUCACUUUACAGUGAAGGUAUGGUACUAAUCUGAUGUCCCUGGGAACUUGGCAUGAACCUGUCUCUUGUAGGUUGCUUCUCCAUUGCAGCCUCUGUUGUACCUGAGACCUCCCUGCAUGUAGCUGGUAAUUUGUCAGUCACCACUAUUAUCUAUUUCUGGUAUCACCUAAAUAUCAUCACCAGACGACAAAUUAUUGCAAUAUAAAUCAAUAAAAUAGUGCCUGAUUUUUCAAUUUCUGUGUAUCACUAUCAGAAGUCCUAAAGCUAGCUCUUAAUAAUUUUUAUAAAGAUAGAAUGCUAGAUUGGUGUUAAAUACCAUUAACCUCAUGGCACAAAGUCCCAUUACAUAUUUGUAUGCUCCUAUGCUUAAAAGCUAUGUGGUCAGAAAAAUAUAAUCAUAAUAAAUAUUAUCUCUGGCUGCCACUAAUGUGUUUGAGACCACCUUAAAAUUGGUCACACACUCACACUCAUUAUAAUUGAAAGUCAAUACUUGAAGAUUUUAGCUAUCCUCUAAGAGUUGUAAUCCCUUAUCUGUCACCUGAGAACCAGAGACAUAAAGUGAAAGCAAAGACAACCUUUACGAAGACAUGACAUCCAUCCAACAACCAUCAUGCAAUCCAAUAUAUUCAUCUAAGAAAAUAUCCUGCCAUUUAGAAUACACAUAUGAUAAGUAGAGUUGUCUCCAUUACAUAAAUUCAUUAGUAGUAAAUACUCAAAUGUAAGCAAGAUUUCCAAUUCCACCAAGCUUAUCCUACAACAACACCUUAAAAUAAUGACACAGAGAGAGGCUGUGGUAUCAAAACAUCCUCCUCGACAACUGUUUUAAACAGAAAACGAAACCAAAAAAUAAAUUUUAUGAGAAAAGGAAAUUGAAAUAAUCAAAUAAAAAAAAAAACUUAAGUAGGAAAAUUUCAAAUAGGAACCAGUAUUUUUGUAUUACACACUCUUAGCUUGCAUUAGGCGAAUUUUGAUUUACACAUACUUUACACACGUACGUACAUGAUUAGCUAAUGAAAGUGGUACCUUUGAUGAUAAUAUUGCAUAUGAAGGACUUCUCAUGAAGAAGACACUGCUUCAGGUUUAUGGUCUUCAGGAGCUCUUGAGGGAUGGAGAAGAAAGAAAGUGGUGGAAGAGCUUAUCCUAUGAGAGAGUUAUAAACUUGAACUGGACUUUUGAUAGAGAAAAUAACUACUGGUUUAAAGAUCAGAAUCCUUACUCUAGUUCAUGGUAUGUAAGCGAAUGUGGCACUGACUGAGCACUCUGAUGGCAGGUGAAAUAGAAAGGAUUGUUAUUUUUCUCCAUUCAAUGAGUAAUUAAAAGGGAAAUCAGUUUCGAAUAGAAUGCGUGAAAGGCUUCAAAUUGUGAUAAAUGCAAUAUAUUGUUGUUACAAAAUGCAAUGAGUAAUUUAUAAUUUGAUAUUGUAUUAAUAGUAAAUAUCAAU